UACAGAGGUCCCAAGCGUUGUUCGGAUUCAUUGGGCGUAAAGGGUGCGUAGGUGGUAAGGUAAGUUGGAUGUGAAAUCUCGGGGCUCAACCCCGAAACUGCAUUCAAUACUGCCUUGCUGGAGUACUGGAGAGGAGAUUGGAAUUUACGGUGUAGCAGUGAAAUGCGUAGAUAUCGUAAGGAAGACCAGUGGCGAAGGCGGAUCUCUGGACAGUUACUGACACUGAGGCACGAAGGCCAGGGGAGCAAACGGG
rnacentral:rRNA from 1 species